rnacentral:rRNA from 1 species
CCUACGGGAGGCAGCAGUGGGGAAUAUUGCACAAUGGGGGAAACCCUGAUGCAGCGACGCCGCGUGAGUGAAGAAGUAAUUCGUUACGUAAAGCUCUAUCAGCAGGGAAGAAACACUGACCUUACGGUCAGCAGACGGUACCUGAGUAAGAAGCCCCGGCUAACUACGUGCCAGCAGCCGCGGUAAUAAGUAGGGGGCAAGCGUUAUCCGGAUUUACUGGGUGGAAAGGGAGCGUAGACGGUGGGCCAAGUCUGGAGUGAAAUGCCGCAGCUUAACUGCGGAACUGCUUUGGAAACUGGCGAACUAGAGUGCGGGAGAGGUAAGCGGAAUUCCUAGUGUAGCGGUGAAAUGCGUAGAUAUUAGGAGGAACACCGGUGGCGAAGGCGGCUUACUGGACCGUAACUGACGUUGAGGCUCGAAAGCGUGGGGAGCAAACAGGAUUAGAUACCCGGGUAGUC